rnacentral:lncRNA from 1 species
GGCGCUUUCCCGCCGGCGGCGGCGGCGGCCGCGGCCGCGGGCCGGGGAGACGGCCUUGCAGAGCGCGGGAUCCCAGGGCUGCGAGGGUGACCCAGAGCAAGCCCUGGCGCACGCGCGCUCCGCUCGACGCGGUGCUCCCGGGGUGCGUCUCUGCGAAACGCUCGGCCCUAACCGGCCCUGCACCCGGCGGGGGCGGCGGGCACUGAGCCGCUGGCUCUCGGCUGCCGCGAACAAAGGGCGCAGGAUUUAACCUCGGCUCUCUGGGCGUGCCUUUGCAGGCCCUCGUGCGCUCUGCUGGGGAAAAGAAAAAAAGCUUCUGCCAAUGCCAGUGCAGCUGUGUGUCCGCUGUAGUUGUGCAGGUUAAUUCUGCGCGAGCGAAAACACCGAGAAAGACGUUCAGGCACUGGAUAUCCACGCAGGCCUUAAGGAACCCCUGUGCAGCCUUGUGCCACGAGAGGAGUGGAUUCACUAACUUUCACGCUGAUUCCUCAAACCAAGUUGUUUCAUUUUUGGCCAAAACUCUUUAUGUUGAUCACUUUCCUUGAGUACCUACUGUCUGCCUAGUGUUGGAGACAUGGAAAUAAACGAUAAUUGUUUUGCCUGAAAACAGCACAGUUUAGUGGAGAGGACAGACAACUGAGCAGAUACUUACCAAAGCAUGCUUAGUGUUAGGGCACAGGCCCUGGGAAACGAGAAAGAUGCGCCUCCGACAGGAAGUCCAGGCUACAUCUGGAGGGAGGAGAGGCCUGCAGAGCCUGAUGAGGACUGCCACCAUCACCUCCCCCGAAGGAGGACCAGCUGGAGCUGAGGAGCAAGGUAAUGCUCAAGAAGUGAGCAGUCCAGAGCUG